rnacentral:lncRNA from 1 species
AUAAUUUUUUAUUAAUUACGAUCUUGUAUUUACUUGUGGAAUUCGAAAAAUCGGAAUCUAAUACAACAUCAACAGAACCUCCUAAAACUUUCAUAACAAAAUCUUUGACAACAAAAACAACUGAAGUUCCAACAACAAUUACUACCAAAGAUUCAACUUAUCAACUUGUCCUUAAGAUUGCUACUCCAUUAGUUAAAGGAAAGAUUCUUUAUGUUCUAUCAAUAAUUGAAAAAGAGUUCUUAGUAUCUUUAGAUUACUAUCCAAACUCAUUUCCUUAUCGUGGUUAUUAUUCUAUUAUUCGUUUUACUAAUACUACAGACACAAUAAAUUAUGGUUAUAAUGGAUAUCAUGUUCCUAGCAUUUAUUUACAUUCAAGUGGGAGCUUGCAGAUUGCAAGUUCGAUUAAUGGAAAUAGAUAUAAUCACUAUAACACAUAUCCUAUUAAACUAAAAGAAUGGAUAAAUAUUGAAAUCAGUCAAACAUUGAUAUGUGGUGAUUAUGUAUAUAGAAUAAAAUUAAAUGGCAAUUAUGUUUAUUUACAAAUCAAUAAUCAAUCUCAAAGUUAUAAUAAUGUUAAAGUAUAUGCUUCAGAUUUGUCAUGGUCAUCAGAUGGAUUAAUU